AUUUUUUUCUUUUUCUUUUUCUUGUUUUUAUUCGCCUGUUUUAAUUUUUCGUAAUUUGUCAUUUUUUUCAGAAUUCAGAUCUUGUUUGAAGACCUCGUUUUUUCAUUUCGUGAAUUUUUCAAAGAACUCAUUUUUUCAUCCUAAAAUCUCCAGAUGUGUUCGAAGUAUAACAACGAGAAGGAAGAUCAAGAUGUGAAGGAAGCUCCAACAUUUUUUUUACUAUUAUUGAUAGAUUUGUUUUUAUGAAUUAUUGUAAUAUAUAUGUUCUAAAAUUCGAAGCAUUUUCGUUUUUAUUUUUCCA